CAUAUACUUAAUGUUAUGGAAAUAUUAGUGAUGAUGAUUUUAUGUAAAUAAUUGCAAGUUUCCAGCUGUGCAGCUUUAUUUUUUCCAUCCUCUGUAUUUCUAUGUAAAUUAUUCUUAAAUUCAAAUCAGACCACACCAAAGGCUCUUCAGUGUUUUACAUACAAGAUAAGCUUCAAGCUACCUUCUCAAGCUCCAAAGACCUUUAUUUCCAGGCCAAUGCCUAAGUCUAUGGCCUUACUAAGCACCAUGUUGUUAGCUUAUCCUUAGUGUGAAUUCUUUGAAGUUCCUUUGCAUUUACCCAGCUAAUUCAUGCCUGCAUGCCUUUGUCUUUUUCUUUUCCUUCUGUUUGUAAUGUCCGCUCCACACCAGCCUUAUUACCUAGGCAGGGCCUUUUCGUACAACAUGAUGUUUUGAAAUAUGUAUACAAGGCCAGGCACAAUGACUAAUGCCUGUAAUCCCAGCACUUUGGGAGGCUGAGGUAGGUGAAUCACCUGAGGUCAGGAGUUCAAGAACAGCCUGGCCAACAUGGUGAAACCCUGUCUCUACUAAAAAUAUCUUAAAAUUUAGCCAAACGUGGUGGUGGGCACCUGUAAACUCAGCUACUCAGGAGGCUGAGGCAGGAGAAUCGCUUGAACCUGGGAGGCGGAGGUUUCAGUGAGCCGACACAGUGCCACUGCACUCCAGCCUAGGCAACAGAGCGAGACUCCGUCUCAAAAACAAAAAACAACAACAAACAACAAACCAAGAACAGGCACAUUAAACAAACAGAAUCUGCUCUUGUUUCCCUAUCCAUUAGAAACCUAUAUUGGGGAGCAAUGGGAAAAAAGCAUAACAGUAAAAAAUAAAAUGUUUAAAUGCAUCAUGUAAUGGUUCCUGGUAGAAAAGCUAGGCAACCAGCAAUGACUAUGUUUUAGGCACUCUUCUCCAUCUGCUCUGAAAUGCAGUUAUUUUAUUCCCAUCUCAGACUUGUAAAAAUGGAAGAUUUAAACUCAGUUCAGUGUCUUACUCCAUUCUGAAACUCUCAGACCUGGUGUCAAUCAAGCACAAAUUAAGAGUUGGUUAAACUUCAAAAGGCAAGCGUGGGAAAAGACAGUCUGGGUUUCAGGCGAAAGAUACAAAAUCAAGACAAUAGAGGCCAGGUGUGGUGGCAAGACAAUAGAGGCUGGGUGUGGUGGCUCACGCCUGUAAUCCCAGGACACUGGGAGGCUGAGGUGGGUGGAUAACCUGAGGUCAGGAGUUCGAGACCAGCCUGAGCAACAUGGUGAAACCCCGUCUCUACUAAAAACACAAAAUUAUCUGGGCACGGUGCCUGUAGUCCCAACUAUUUGCGAGGCUGAGGCAGGAGAAUCUCUUGAACCUGGGAGGCAGAGGUUGCAGUGAGCUGAGAUCAUGCCAUUGCACUCCAGCCGGGGCAACAAGAGUGAAACUGCGUCUCAAAAAAAUAAAUAAAUAAAUAAAAAAUAAAGACAAUAGAAAGGAAAGUGUAGGGCAUGUUGAGAAGAAAACACAGAAUAGGAAGUUGCAAAGGGGAGAAUAGAGAUAAGACAGGAACAAUAAAUUAAGUCUUUGUAGUGAAAAGCUUCAAAUGGCAGAUUCAGCAGGGAAGAAGGAAAGAAUGAAGUACUUUUGGAAUCUGUCAAAACUGGGCAAUGGUAAAGUUAAUAUGACAGUGAAAGAUGUAGGAUAUACUGGAUCCCGGAGUGACUGGAUGUAGAGUGAUGAAUCAGGUGGUUAUUCCAAUAUUUCUAGUAAUGAUAAUAAUGUUUCAAAUUGAAGUAUUGGUAGUGAAGAGAGAGGUAGUGAACAAAUAUUUGCUAUACAUGAUUUGAACCACAGUAUAGGUAUAUCUGUGCUAUCACUGUGUGCAUCUUAAUUUUUUUUUUACCCAAUGAACUGAAUAAAAACACUGAAAGUAGUGUAGAGGAUACUUGUUUGUUUCCUGUAAUCAUAUAACAAUAUGUAAUGGAAUGCCAAAUGCAUGACAAGUUAAGUUAUUCCUGCACAGAAUCUGCCAAGCACAUGAAUAAAGUUGCAAAACACAUUUGAAAGUGUCAGGUGGAUGCUUUUGGAAAACUCUAUGUACACUUAUUAAAAAAAAACAAUAGCUGCUGUGACACAUACGUCAAAACCAAUGUGUGUUUAAAAGUUUGGUAAACCUGCCUCAGAUACCCUUUCAUAUAAUGUGCUUUUUAGCAAAGCCAAACUUUGUUUAAAUAUUUU
rnacentral:lncRNA from 1 species